CAGCAGCCGCGGUAAUACGUAGGGUCCAAGCGUUAAUCGGAAUUACUGGGCGUAAAGCGUGCGCAGGCGGUUAUGUAAGACAGUUGUGAAAUCCCCGAGCUUAACUUGGGAAUUGCAUUUGUGACUGCAUGGCUAGAGUGUGUCAGAGGGGGGURGAAUUCCACGUGUAGCAGUGAAAUGCGUAGAUAUGUGGAGGAACCCCAUUGGCGAAGGCAGCCUWCUGGGAUAANACUGACGCUCAUGCACGAAAGCGUGGGGAGCAAACAGGAUUANAUACCCUGGUAGUCCACGCCCUAAACGAUGUCAACUAGUUGUUGGGGAUUCAUCCUUAGUAACGUAGCUAACGCGUGAAGUUGACCGCCUGGGGAGUACGGYCGCAAGGUUAAAA
rnacentral:rRNA from 1 species